GGGGAUUACGGCUCUUUCAUCGUGAGACCUUCUGAGUUCACCGUCGUUGCAAAUCCACCAGAAACCUGCAGCCGAUUUUUCUUGCUCUCCUCUACCUUUGCAUGCCAGCGAGCUUAACUGGCUGACUUCCUCAUGACGAGUUCCAUCAUGGUCACUGACGUGUUCCCAUUUGUUGCUGUCAGCUGAACCAACUGCUUCUUAGUAAGUAAACAAACAAAUAGGUGGGCAUCCUCAAGGAAGGCUUCUCCAGAGAAAACAACGAAACACCGCUACCACUUCAUUCCUAAAGGCUCAACUGCCUCACCUAGAGUCUCGGACUCUGAAUAGCUCUUUUGAAGACAGCUUUGAUUAUUACUUUUUGUAACAAAGCAAUAGAUUUUAUUUUAUUUUUUUAUCACUGUGCAAGAUUGAUCUGCACAGUUUGUGAAUCUGGCACAGCUCUUGAGUUGUUUGAUUGAAGACUUUUUGAGCAGUCAAAAUAUAUUUGAUUAGAAGGCUCAGAGGAAGACAAGAUAACAGAGACGUACUGCAAACUGACUGUUUAUAUUGCUGGGUAUGAUUAAUACGUUUCUGCUGAAAUAAUAGAGAAGUGGAAAGGA
ensembl:lncRNA